rnacentral:rRNA from 1 species
GUGGGGAAUUUUGGACAAUGGGCGCAAGCCUGAUCCAGCAAUGCCGCGUGCAGGAAGAAGGCCUUCGGGUUGUAAACUGCUUUUGUACGGAACGAAACGGUCCUGGCUAAUAUCCGGGGCUAAUGACGGUACCGUAAGAAUAAGCACCGGCUAACUACGUGCCAGCAGCCGCGGUAAUACGUAGGGUGCGAGCGUUAAUCGGAAUUACUGGGCGUAAAGCGUGCACAGGCGGUGCUGUAAGACAGGCGUGAAAUCCCCGGGCUCAACCUGGGAAUUGCGCUUGUGACUGCAGUGCUGGAGUGCGGCAGAGGGGGAUGGAAUUCCGCGUGUAGCAGUGAAAUGCGUAGAUAUGCGGAGGAACACCGAUGGCGAAGGCAAUCCCCUGGGCCUGCACUGACGCUCAUGCACGAAAGCGUGGGGAGCAAACAGGAUUAGAAACCCGUGUAGUCC